rnacentral:rRNA from 1 species
GACGUAGGGGGCUAGCGUUGUUCGGAAUUACUGGGCGUAAAGCGCGUGUAGGCGGUUGUCCAAGUUGGAUGUGAAAGCCUUGAGCUUAACUCAAGAAAUGCAUUCAGGACUGGAUGACUAGAGGACCGGAGAGGAUAGUAGAAUUCCCAGUGUAGUGGUGAAAUACGUAGAGAUUGGGAAGAGCACCAGUGGCGAAGGCGGCUAUCUGGACGGUUUCUGACGCUAAGACGCGAAAGCGUGGGGAGCAAACAGG